rnacentral:rRNA from 1 species
GAUGAACGCUAGCGGGAGGCCUAACACAUGCAAGCCGAGCGGUAUUUGUUCUUCGGAACAGAGAGAGCGGCGCACGGGCGCGGAACACGUGUGCAACCUGCCUUUAUCUGGGGGAUAGCCUUUCGAAAGGAAGAUUAAUACCCCAUAAUAUAUUGAGUGGCAUCAUUUGAUAUUGAAAACUCCGGUGGAUAGAGAUGGGCACGCGCAAGAUUAGAUAGUUGGUGAGGUAACGGCUCACCAAGUCAAUGAUCUUUAGGGGGCCUGAGAGGGUGAUCCCCCACACUGGUACUGAGACACGGACCAGACUCCUACGGGAGGCAGCAGUGAGGAAUAUUGGACAAUGGGUUAGCGCCUGAUCCAGCCAUCCCGCGUGAAGGACGACGGCCCUAUGGGUUGUAAACUUCUUUUGUAUAGGGAUAAACCUACUCUCGUGAGAGUAGCUGAAGGUACUAUACGAAUAAGCACCGGCUAACUCCGUG